UCGCCUCGUGAGCCAGGGGCGGCCUCGCAC
rnacentral:sRNA from 1 species